UCGCGCGCGUCCGCAAUUAUUUUCCUGUUCGCGCGCAGCUCGGGGAGUGGCGGGCGGGUAGGUCGCCUGCGCCGCCGACAUCGCAGCGACUCUCCGGCUGUGCUCUGCUCCACCACCCAACCACCCUUUCGACGUACUCCAGGAGGAUUCAACCGGCUGUUACCGGAGCCCGCGCCGUGCCCGUGCUGCGCCCGUGCGAGGACAACGCGACAAGGGAAAAGAAGGUCAUAAUCCCGAGCUUUCUGGGAACUUCGCCUGGGAUAUUUGUGUUGUUUCCAAGAAACUCCAAUAGCCAGAGAACAACCCAUGUGUAGAAAAAUAAUAUGAUACUUCCGAGCCACAGGUCACGUGAUAAUGGCUCAACGAAAAUCCAUGUGUUGUUAGUUCUGCUGCUCUUGGCUGGAACAACCAUUGCCACUCCUGAUUCUGUGUACGGUAGAGUGAAGUCGACGUAAGACAUUCUGUUCUCUGAGAUUGUUAUGUCUCCAAUUGCUAUAUCGUAUUUCUGCAAGUGCAUCAAACAGAGUUACUUUACUGACCAGCAAAAUGAUGAUGCUUAAUCUUUGUUAUGAAAGCUGUAACUAUGCCAUGAGGAUAUGAAUAGGUUAACUGAGAAGAGCCUAACUAUGCCAUGUGUUCUUAUCAUGUAAAGAUGACAUGUAUAUUCCUUUGAUAUAGUACUUUACCUUAUGAGUUGCAAGCAACAGAUGGCAUGUUAUUACAAUUUUUUACUACAAUAGCAUAGUACUUGCAAGAAUGGUUACCAGACCAGUAGGGAAGCAUGAUAUGGUGGUUAUACACACUAUACAAUGGAGAAAUAUGGCCCCAGAUAGAAUUCAAUUUGGGUAUUUAUCCUCGUCGUAUCCUUUAUAUGGAAAUCCAGGUCCAGGGGAUCAUUCCCUUGACUCUUACUGAUGAUAUUUUUUUUACUCCAUCAGAAAAUGAACAAAAAGCUGCCAAAUUGGCCUAUUUCUUGCGCGUAGCUACCAAUUGAAGUAUUUUGAGGAUUUUUUUUAAAACUGAAUUGAAUGGAGAAAAUAAGAACUGGAAGAAGAAAAUUUUUCUCAACAGGGGGAGGAAGUCCCUUUGAAAUUGGAUUUGUUGCUGUAAGGGGAUUUUCAAGUAUUAUCUAAAGGAAGGAACAAACGAGGAUAAGAGAAAAUUCCUUUUAAUUUAUUUUGUCCACGUGAGAUGUAUUGCAUACUAUUCUUCCAUUUUCAUCCGAAAGGACUUAAAAAAAAAUCUAUUUCACUAUCUCAUUCCAUCUAGUGCUAAGAAAAAACCCAAUGCACUGAAAUUCCUGCUCAACAUCUCCUCUCAAUUGCAAUACAUUAUUUGGGUGGGUUGUGUGCUAUUAUUUUUUACAUGGUUGCAUUAAACUAAAAUGUAGUAUCCCUCCGAUCCAUAUAACUUGUCGCUGCUUUAGUACAACUUUACUAAAGCAGCGACAAGUAAUAUGGAUCGGAGGGCGUACAUAAAUGUGGGAGUAGUGAAAUCAUGGCAUGCAUAUAAUUUUACUUUUUGCAAAUUUGAUGCUGAAAGUUGAAGCCCUGAUGCACUUACUACCUUAAGGUAAACUUGGUAAACAAAAUCAUCAUAACCUCCAGUGCUUGUGUCAUUCGUGGUGCCAAAUGCUACAUAUUCAUAAGGUAGUGCAUAGGGAAGUCUUUUAACUGCCUCUUCGAAUACAUCAAUUGAAAGGCCUUCUGCUUUAGUUGCCCCUGUGAUAGGAUCCUUUCCACUUGUCAUAAAUUGUGGGUAUACACUUACGUGCACUCCCACUCGAAGCUUCUUACCAUUUACAGCAGCUUCCCACCCUCUGGGUACCUCUGUUGAUGUUCCUGGCCAAAUCACGGGGUUUAGUUCAGGAACUAAGCCUGAAUGCUCUGUCAUUGAUUCUCCUUGAUAUAGUCGCCGGGAAAUACCAUUUUCUGCAGUCCAAAACCCAAUUUCUUUCCACCCUUUACCAACUACAUUUAUUAUUUGAAAUGUAGAUGCUUGCAGCUGCCUGCCUGAAAGGUCAAAAUGACCACUCAAACCUCUAAAUUUGUAUUGCAAGAUGGUCUUUAGGAGAUCCGGGCCAUAAACAGAUGUUCCCAGGCUUGUCAUGUUUCUUGCAACUGCUGGUUUUUGAAAUGAUGUCUUGUUCUUAAUACCAAGCUUUUCAACUGCUUGUGCUACCGCCCAUAUAGUAUCAUAGCCCCAGAGUUCAAAUAUGUUUAGUUUCACUGGUAGAUCAUUUGGGUUAUCAAUUUGUAAUCUCCUAUUCCAGCGUAUGGUGAAGCUAUCCAGUUCUGCUGAUUUAGGUGUAUAAAACUUUACACCUAAAACACCAUUCAUUGCUUCCAUGACAGAAGGGUUUGUGGAGUCUAUGACAUUGGUUAGUCCAUCUGUCAUGAUCCAGACGUCUGCUUUCUUCAUCAUACCAACCUCUUUUGCCUUUGUGAAGAGGAUCGAAGCUAAAUCAGGUGACAUAUGCACCAAGAAGACCCUUGUUUGCAUUGUCAUUAGCUUAUAGAGUUCUUGGGUAAUUUGUUCAUUAGAUGCCGACAGAGGGAUCACACUCCGAUAGGGAACACGAGCAUCAAUUUCUUGGAGGGCGUCGAUGAGAUAUGGUAUGACACCUCUACCAUAGUCAGUUUCUUCAUAAAUUGGCACCACCUGCCUCCACCCGUAGGCCUUGAUUAGGGAGGCAAUGCUAUUCACUUGUGUAGAGUCACUCAAUGUUGCACGAAUAAAAUAUGGAAGACUGCCAGAGUAAAGAGAUGGGCUUGUUGCUGUGAAGGAGAUGAUAGGGACCUGACUUUUAUUCCCCAGAUCCGAUACAAAUGCUGCUUGUGAAGAUGUUUGAGGGCCUAUGACAGCUUGGACAUUGUAAUUCUCUAGCAGGUCGAGAGCUGUAAAGGUUCAUAAUCAAAUUUUAGGUGAAUGCAAAUAUGUGCUGCCAGAAGCUUCAUAAAUUCAGAACCGAAGAGUAAAAAAAUGACAUAGUAUUUACAAAAUAUAUAUGUUGGUUCAGAGCACUCUGUAGCUAUGCUUUUGUUGUCCUAGUUAACUUAAACUUGUGGAAAACAGGAUUGAAAAUUAUUACAGAUUUGCAGAUGAAGCUACAAAUUUGAACCCACAAUAUUUGGAUGAAUGUAACUAAACUUGUUGUCAGUAUAAAAUAUAAUUACAGUUCAGUCUGUUUACUUGACUUGCUUGUUUUGAAAUAUGACAUUUAUAACCUGUAUUACUAGUUACGCUGAUAAAGUUAAGGUUUCUCAGACUAACAAACCCAUCAAGGGAAAGCUAAGGUAAACAUAAUCGGGUUAUUAAAUAUGUAUGCACUAACUUUUCUGAGAGUAAAACUCAUAUAAUAUUUCCUUGCAAAGAAGUGUGAAUAUUUGUUGGCAAUAGUAAUAGUUUAGUAACCAAACAUUGUCCUUUUGAUGUUUCUGAACUUUAGCAGGAGAUAUAUGCUCAAAGUACUUCGUUUAACAGGAAUGUAAUAAACUAGCCUUGUUGCUGUUUAUUUAUUUGAUUUACAACUGUUCUUCCCAUGGGCAUUUGUUAGCUGGAUGUCUAUUGUUAAACAGAUGAAGUAUUAUGGAGCACAUGGAAAGUAAAGAUAUAGCCAAAAAAACACUCGUUCCUAAGUAAAAACCAUUAAAUCCUUUUGAUAAAUGUUACUAUCAAACGCUUCCAACUUUGUCCAUUAGUAGUGGCACAUUGGUAAAUAACCAUGUUGAUUUCCAUCAAAACUGUGUUCAUAAUAUUGCAGUUCUGUAGCUUGUACUAAGUUGAAUGAUGAAAGUCAGUUAUAUUCCUUUGCUCGCUGUGUUCAGAGUUCUUGCCCUUUCCACCAGCCUGAUGUAUGGCCUGGGGUGGAAUUUAAACUUUUCUGGCUCAGCUACUUUGGUUUAGCCGAGCGCUGUGAACAGUAAUCUGUGUUUUUUUACCUCGUUUAAUUAGGGGGGGGGGGGGGGCUUUCGAUAAAAAAGACAGUUAUGUAAGUUGUUUUUUUAUGACAGCGUAAAAAGUUGUACUUCAAAGACAAUAAUAAGUUGAGAAAGCAUAUUUGUAAGCAACGUAGGGAGUGGGAAAGAGUUUUUCCUUUUCAUGAUAGGCUGCAGAACUUUUACCUGCUGAUGCAGCUUCUACGCUGUUACUUUUCGAGCCCCUGAUGUGGAGAACUACCUUUGGGCUGUAGUUUCUGUGGACUGUAUAGAAGUCUUCCAGAGCCAUCAAAAUGCUGGUCCGCGCCAUCUUGCCCCCCAAUGAUUCCAAGUCGAGGAUCACUCCAACGGGGAACUCAUCUGUUCCACUCGUGGUAGCAUUUUGAGCUACGCCAGAAUGGAUGAUGAGUAACAGGAAGAGGGUGAUUUGAGAUGCUCUCUCCAUUGACAGUGCUGCAAGGUUUGUGAAGUAUUCGGUGCCCAGAAUCUAAGGCCACCUUGGCUUUUAUAGAGUUGGUUUCUUCAAGCUAAAAGCUUAGCAUGACGGCGUAGUUGUAGUUUCCGAAGGUCAAAUGACGUAGCACGGCCGACCAAGCAAUUUAAAUACAAAUACGUAGUUUAGGACAUGCUGCAAUGAUAGAGUUCUAUAAUAGUGGAGUACUCCUCCUCUGCAUGUUACCCAGGUACUUAAAUACUAACUGACCAGUAGCUCCUUCCAUUCAAUCUUGCAAUAUAUCACUUGAAAGUGACAGGAGCUGUUAUCUAAUUGUUUUCAAACGUUUGCUCUGUUUCCUGAAGCAACUGAAUUCUGUUGACAUGAUUUUUGCUGUUUAUAUAAAUUCCAAUUGCCCCCUUUUAAUA